rnacentral:rRNA from 1 species
AUUGAACGCUGGCGGCAUGCUUUACACAUGCAAGUCGAACGGUAACAGGCCGCAAGGUGCUGACGAGUGGCGAACGGGUGAGUAAUGCAUCGGAACGUGCCCAGUCGUGGGGGAUAACGCAGCGAAAGCUGCGCUAAUACCGCAUAAGAUCUAUGGAUGAAAGCGGGGGACCGUCAGGCCUCGCGCGAUUGGAGCGGCCGAUGUCAGAUUAGGUAGUUGGUGGGGUAAAGGCCCACCAAGCCAACGAUCUGUAGCUGGUCUGAGAGGACGACCAGCCACACUGGGACUGAGACACGGCCCAGACUCCUACGGGAGGCAGCAGUGGGGAAUUUUGGACAAUGGGCGCAAGCCUGAUCCAGCAAUGCCGCGUGCAGGAAGAAGGCCUUCGGGUUGUAAACUGCUUUUGUACGGAACGAAACGGCUCUGGUUAAUACCUGGGGCUAAUGACGGUACCGUAAGAAUAAGCACCGGCUAACUACGUGCCAGCCGCCGCCGUAACAC